rnacentral:rRNA from 1 species
UACGUAGGGUGCAAGCGUUGUCCGGAAUUAUUGGGCGUAAAGAGCUCGUAGGCGGUUUGUCGCGUCUGCUGUGAAAAUCCAGGGCUUAACCCUGGACCUGCAGUGGGUACGGGCAGACUGGAGUGCGGUAGGGGAGGAUCGGAAUUCCUGGUGUAGCGGUGAAAUGCGCAGAUAUCAGGAGGAACACCGGUGGCGAAGGCGGGAUCUCUGGGGCAUGUCCUGACGCUGAGGAGCGAAAGUGUGGGGAGCGAACAGG